ensembl:lncRNA
GUGGAAACAGGUUGAGGGGCAGUCCACUUGUUGCCCCGAGCAGGGGCUUGUUUCCCUCUGUUGCUGUCUUCGAGGCCUCGGCAGUUAAUCUUGGUUUACUCUGCUCCUCAUACACUUCAUCACUAGGACCCUUGUGGGGCAAAUAGCCUUUGGGGAGGGUGUAAAGGGGAAACGGAAGGGGGAGAAACAGCUGAGAGGGCCUGGAGCUUUUGUUUUCACUGGGCUCUGGUUCAACUUCCUUUGUGUGGGGGGUAGAAGGACUCCAGGUCCCUGCUUGCUUCCAGGGGAAAGCAUUUUUGGCUCAAAACUCCCUUCCUAACCAUGGUACACACAGACUACACUCCUCCUCCAGGAUGCUUUGAUUGGGAUCUUAGAGCAGGAGUCAGACGCUGAACCUCGGGUGGCUCAAAUAACCCAAGGAAAAGCUUUGUGUUUUCUUCCUAAAGGCAGCAUCUGAAGGUUCAGCAGGCGGUGGGAACAGAAGGCAGUGCAAACCCACACAGUGUACACACAGCACGUUUCUGCAGUACGGAGGUUCCAGAGUUCCAGCAACAGUCUCCUCACUGUGUGUGGCUGUGUGGCGAGAUAUUCCUUCAGGGGAGCAGGAUUCUCUGCCAGGCUGGCGGGGCAGAAAUGAUGCCUGGGGCAUAUAUCUGGACUGCACUAAUGUUGGUUUGAGCUUGGAGUUGUUGGCUUUGUCCUGGGGCGGGUGGCUUCAGAUCUUCUUGAUUCAGUGCCGACCUGUGCUUGGAAUGCGGAAAAUAGGGAGCGGGAGGUUGAUUUUUGGGUGCAGUUGAAGCCAGGAGGAGCCUGCCUGCCUGUCUGUCUGCAAGAUCUGUGUUUCUCUGAAGGCUCCCUGACCUCCCACCAAGCUGCAAUGGGAUCGCUUCUGUAUGGAGGAGUGCUUUUUCCUCCAUCUCAAGCAGGGAUCUGGCUUGGUGCAAGAAGUGUGACAAGGCCCCGGGUGUUGGAGGACACAGCUGCAAGGGAGAACGUGGGCAGGAUGCAAGCAGCUGGGAGGCUGGGGGAUUCCUAUCAUAGCAGACCUCAGCCAGGGAUGAAGGUGCUUAACCACAUCGAGGGAUUAGUUAUAAGCAGAAAACCUUUGCGUUCGUAAGGCACUUCAAGUGACAUUUUGUGAAUCCAGAGGUGAAGGGGGUGUCCCUCAGCACAGGGAGAAGCUGUAGAGCUGCUCUGUCCACCUGUCCUGGCCUCAGCUGUCCUAUGCUGGCACGGGGGGAUGAUGCCUGCACUGAGGAGUUCCCCUGAAGACUCAGGAUGCUGAUGAGACCAGAGGAAUCCAGGUUCAAAGUGCAUGACCUCUCUCGUCCUACGUAUGGAGCAUAUCAUUUCUCUUUUCUGGCCAAGCACACAGUGAGCUCAUUGUGGCUGCCUGUGUACAGCCAUUCUGCAGCGAUUAUGUGGCUUCAGCACUGAGGUGUUCUCUCCAUGGAGCUGCUUGAUAACACGGAGCUGCUAUGGCAGAGCUGUGUCCUCGGGGAGCUCUCACCGCAGUCGAGGAGGAAACACACGGGCAAAGUCAAAUGUGCUAAGGAAUGAGCUGUCCUGAAU